rnacentral:rRNA from 1 species
GACGAACGCUGGCGGCGUGCUUAACACAUGCAAGUCGAACGGUAAGGCCCUUCGGGGUACACGAGUGGCGAACGGGUGAGUAACACGUGGGUGAUCUGCCCUGCACUUCGGGAUAAGCCUGGGAAACUGGGUCUAAUACCGGAUAGGACCACUGCCUGCAUGGGUGGUGGUGGAAAGCUUUUGCGGCGUGGGAUGGGCCCGCGGCCUAUCAGCUUGUUGGUGGGGUGAUGGCCUACCAAGGCGACGACGGGUAGCCGGCCUGAGAGGGUGACCGGCCACACUGGGACUGAGAUACGGCCCAGACUCCUACGGGAGGCAGCAGUGGGGAAUAUUGCUCAAUGGGCGCAAGCCUGAUGCAGCGACGCCGCGUGAGGGAUGACGGCCUUCGGGUUGUAAACCUCUUUCAGCACCGACGAAGCGCAAGUGACGGUAGGUGCAGAAGAAGGACCGGCCAACUACGUGCCAGCAGCCGCCGUAA